rnacentral:rRNA from 1 species
UACGAAGGGGGGCUAGCGUUGUUCGGAAUUACUGGGCGUAAAGCGCACGUAGGCGGAUCGAUCAGUCAGGGGGUGAAAUCCCAGAGCUCAACUCUGGAACUGCCUUUUGAUACUGUCGAUCUAGAGUAUGGAAGAGGUGAGUGGAAAUUCCGAGUGUAGAGGUGAAAAUUCGUAGAUAUUCGGAGGAACACCAGUGGCGAAGGCGGCUCACUGGUCCAUUACUGACGCUGAGGUGCGAAAAGCGUGGGGGAGCAAACAGGG